rnacentral:tRNA from 1 species
GAGGAUAUAGCUCAGUGGUAGAGAGCAUGCUUAGCAUGCAUGAGGUCCUGGGUUCAAUCCUCAGUACCUCCA